CCGGGGGCUUUCCCCGCCACCGGUUUUCAACUUGAUAGAGGGUGGUGGUUCAGUUUUCAAUUUGUUUUCCUAAUGGCAAAUACUGCUCAAUCAGAACUCCUAAAUGACCGCUUAUGGAAUGCCUAUGCUAGACCGCAGGCAUAUGUUCCCCUUGAAGGGGAGCACAUUUACUACUUCCCCCAAGGACAUAUUGAACAGGUU